rnacentral:rRNA from 1 species
GUAGGUGGCAAGCGUUAUCCGGAAUUAUUGGGCGUAAAGCGCGCGCAGGUGGUUUCUUAAGUCUGAUGUGAAAGCCCACGGCUCAACCGUGGAGGGUCAUUGGAAACUGGGAGACUUGAGUGCAGAAGAGGAAAGUGGAAUUCCAUGUGUAGCGGUGAAAUGCGUAGAGAUAUGGAGGAACACCAGUGGCGAAGGCGACUUUCUGGUCUGUAACUGACACUGAGGCGCGAAAGCGUGGGGAGCAAACAGGAUUAGAUACCCUGGUAGUCCACGCCGUAAACGAUGAGUGCUAAGUGUUA